AGCUCCAAUAGCGUAUAUUAAAGUUGUUGUGGUUAAAAAGCUCGUAGUUGGAUUUCGGCGGGUAGUGGUUGGUUUGAAUUGAUUCAACACUGACUUUUUUACCCGUGUGUUUUGCCAGAAUCUUACGGGUGAUCUUUACCGAUUGUCCGUUGGAACUGGCAGGUUUACUUUGAAAAAAUUAGAGUGCUCAAAGCAAGCUUACUGCUUGAAUAGUUGCGCAUGGAAUAAUAGAAUAGUAAGUCGUUUCUAUUUUGUUGGUUUUCGGAAAUCGACUUAAUGAUUAAUAGGGAUAGUCGGGGGCAUUCGUAUUCAAACGACAGAGGUGAAAUUCUUGGACCGUUUGAAGACAAACUAAACAAACUAACAAACAGAACUAAGGCGAAAGCAUUUGCCAAGAAUGUUUUCA
rnacentral:rRNA from 1 species